CACGUAGGGGGCGAGCGUUGUCCGGAAUUACUGGGCGUAAAGGGUGCGUAGGCGGUCUGUUAAGUCAGAUGUGAAAGACCUGGGCUCAACCCGGGAUGUGCAUCUGAGACUGGCGGACUUGAGUGCAGGAGAGGGAAGUGGAAUUUCUAGUGUAGCGGUGGAAUGCGUAGAUAUUAGGAAGAACACCAGUGGCGAAGGCGGCUUCCUGGACUGUAACUGACGCUGAGGCACGAAAGCGUGGGGAGCGAAC
rnacentral:rRNA from 1 species